rnacentral:rRNA from 1 species
CUCGUAGGCGGUUCGUCGCGUCCGGCGUGAAAGUCCAUCGCUUAACGGUGGAUCUGCGCCGGGUACGGGCGGGCUGGAGUGCGGUAGGGGAGACUGGAAUUCCCGGUGUAACGGUGGAAUGUGUAGAUAUCGGGAAGAACACCAAUGGCGAAGGCAGGUUUCUGGGCCGUUACUGACGCUGAGGAGCGAAAGCGUGGGGAGCGAACA